rnacentral:pre_miRNA from 1 species
AUAUGAAUCCCCUGAAAAUUUGUUAAAAUGCUUAUUUUGGUUUAUGACCUGAGAUUCUGCCUUUCUGACCAGCUUUUGGGUGAUGCUGAA